UUGUCUCAGCAUUAAAAUCUUUGCCUCAGAAUCUACCACCUUGUUCCAAGCGCGACAUGGUAUUUCGCGUAUUGUAAUUUCAACACGAGCGGGGUCAAAUCCUUUGCAGACGACUUAGCUGUGCGAAACGGUCCUGUAAGCAGUAGAGUAGCCUUGUUGUUACGAUCUGCUGAGGGUAAGCCGUCCUUCGCCUCGAUUU
rnacentral:rRNA from 5 species